rnacentral:rRNA from 1 species
GUAGGGAAUUUUCGUCAAUGGGGGGAACCCUGAACGAGCAAUGCCGCGUGAGUGAAGACGGUUUUCGGACUGUAAAGCUCUGUUGUAAGAGAAAAACGGCCGACAUAGGGAAUGAUGUCGGAGUGAUGGUAUCUUACCAGAAAGUCACGGCUAACUACGUGCCAGCAGCCGCGGUAAUACGUAGGUGGCGAGCGUUAUCCGGAAUGAUUGGGCGUAAAGGGUGCGUAGGCGGUACGGUAAGUCUGUAGUAAAAGGCGGCAGCUCAACUGUCGUAGGCUAUGGAAACUGUCGAACUAGAGUGCAGAAGAGGGCGAUGGAACUCCAUGUGUAGCGGUAAAAUGCGUAGAUAUAUGGAAGAACACCAGUGGCGAAGGCGGUCGCCUGGUCUGUAACUGACGCUGAAGCACGAAAGCGUGGGGAGCAAAUAGGAUUAGAAACCCUUGUAGUCC